UUGGCUCAGRAUGAACGCUGGCGGCGCGCCUAACACAUGCAAGUCGAACGGUUAAAGCACCUUCGGGUGUGUAUAAAGUGGCGAACGGCUGAGUAACACGUGGGCAACCUGCCCCUCGCACCGGGGUAGCCUCGGGAAACCGUGGUUAAUACCGGAUACUCCGGGACCCCCGCAUGGGGGUGCCGGGAAAGCCCUGACGGCGAGGGAUGGGCCCGCGGCCUGUUAGCUUGUUGGCGGGGUAACGGCCCACCAAGGCGAUUAUGGGUAGCCGGGUUGAGAGACCGACCGGCCAGAUUGGGACUGAGACACGGCCCAGACUCCUACGGGAGGCAGCAGUGGGGAUA
rnacentral:rRNA from 1 species